rfam:Halothece sp. PCC 7418, complete genome.
UACAGAAAAUAGUAGAAGCCAAAGACAGCAGGAGUCAAAGAAAAGACUUAAAUUUCCUGCCGAGGUGGAUACCCAAACUUCCCCCUGUUGCCCAAAUAGAAAUCUUGGGCGGUUGGGAGGGUGGGUCAUCAAGCCUCGGAAAAUCAUCCGAGGUUUUUUUGAUGAAGGG